AACGAACGUUAGCGGCGCGCCUAACACAUGCAAGUCGAGCGAGAAAGGGCUUCGGCCCCGGUAAAGCGGCGCACGGGUGAGUAACACGUGGAUAACCUACCCCUUGGUCGGUGGAUAACCUUCCGAAAGGAGGGCUAAUACAGCGUAAGACCACGACUUCGAAAGAGGUUGAGGUAAAAGUGGGCCUCUGUACACAAGCUCACGCCAGGGGGAUGGGGUCCGCGGCCCAUCAGCUAGUUGGUAGGGUAACGGCCUACCAAGGCGAAGACGGGUAGCUGGUCUGAGAGGAUGAUCAGCCACACUGGAACUGAGACACGGUCCAGACUCCUACGGGAGGCAGCAUGGGGAAUCGUUUGCGCAAUGGACGAAAGUCUGACGCAGCGACGCCGGCGUGAGUGAUGAAGGCCUU
rnacentral:rRNA from 1 species